AAAAAGUCAAGGGGUCUGAAUACUUUCCGAAAGCACUGUAGUCUUCCUCCAGGAAUCCGUUGCUACAUUAAACCAUUAAAGGUUCCUCCAAGAGCCCCACAACUGACCGAAGGUGCAAAUAUAAACCACUGACUAGCAGUCGUUACAUGAGGAACUCCAGGGAGUCACCACUAAAUCUGUAGAUAGAUGGAGAGAGAGACGUGGAGGAGAAGAGGCAGAGAACUUGUCAAGCCUCUACAGCCAGAUUAGAUGGUGAUCUUGGCCAGUGUUCCAUUCAGAACAGAGAGGAACCAUGAAAACUCCCUGGCCGAAGGUGUUGAACCUGCUGCUGGCCCAAACUCAUCAUGACAGCUCUACCGUGCUACACACACACAACCAGCUGCUUACACACACACACUGUACAUCAUAGUACAGGAGAUUCAUCUACCUAUCAUUUGUGUACUUUCACUCUCCUUGCUAUUCAUUGUUUAUAACAGAAACAUUACAAUGAUGUAGUUUAUAUUAGUAUAUUGUUAAACACACCUGUCUGUUUGUUUCCAUGAUGCAGUAAAAGUCCUCUAUUGAACAGAAUUCAUUAUUACAGGUUCUAGAGUUCCCAAAACAGCUUCUGAAGGUUCCAGUUCUAGAUUCAUCUGGGGGUCAAAUGUUCUGCAAGUGUCAGGAGUGACAUGGGGUCAAAGUUCAUCUCCUAUUGGCUGGGGAGAGGGGGGGACACAAACAGCUGUUUGGCCCCCUGGACCACCUUCCAUCUCUCCUGCCUUCUUUCUUCUCCCUUCCCCUCUCCAUGCCUCCUCUCCCUCUAUCUCUCCUUCCUUCUU